UACGUAGGGUGCGAGCGUUAAUCGGAAUUACUGGGCGUAAAGGGCGCGUAGGCGGUCUGGUCAGUCCCUUGUGAAAUCCCCCGGCUCAACUGGGGAACUGCACGGGAAACAGCCGGGCUUGAGUUCGGGAGAGGGAAGCGGAAUUCCGGGUGUAGCGGUGAAAUGCGUAGAUACCCGGAGGAAGCACCGGUGGCGAAGGCGGCUUCCUGGACCGAUACUGACGCUGAGGCGCGAAAGCUAGGGGAGCAAACGGG
rnacentral:rRNA from 1 species